rnacentral:lncRNA from 8 species
CCUCUGUCUCUCUGCCUCCUCUUUCCUCUCUCUCUUCCUCCUUUUCCCCCUCUCUCUGCCUUCUCUUUCCUCUCUCUCUCUCUGCCUCCUCUUUCCUCUCUCUCUCUAUCUCUCUGCCUCCUCUUUUCUCCCUCUCUAUCUCUGCCUCCUCUUUCCUCUCUCUUUGCCUUCUCUUUCCUCUCUCUCUCUCUCUUCCUCCUCUUUCCUCUCUUUCUCUCUAUCUCCUCUUUUCUCCAUCUCUAUCUCUCUGCCUCCUCUUUCUCUCUAUCUCUCUUCCUCCUCUUUCCUCUCUCUUUGCCUUUUAUUUCCUCUAUCUCUGCCUCCUCUUUCCUCUUUCCUCUCUGUCUAUCUCUCUGCCUCCUCUUUUCUCCCUCUCUAUCUCUCUGCCUCCUCUUUUCUCCCUCUCUGCCUCCUCUUUCCUCUCUCUUUGCCUUCUCUUUCCUCUCUCUCUCUCUCUCUUCCUCCUCUUUCUAUCUCUCUUCCUCCUCUUUCCUCUCUCUCUGCCUCCUAUUUCCUUUCUCUUUGCCUUUUCUUUCCUCUCUCUCUGCCUCCUCUUUCCUCUUUCCUCUCUGUCUAUCUCUCUGCCUCCUCUUUCCUCUCUCUCUAUCUCUCUGCCACCUCUUUCCUCUCUUUCUCUCUCUCUCUCUGCCUCCUCUUUCUUCUCUCUCCGCCCCCUCUCUUUAUCUCGCUGCCCCCUCUCUCUCUCUCUGCCACCUAUUUCUUCUCUCUCUGCCUCCCUUUUCCACUCUCUCUAUCUCUCUGCCUCCUCUUUUCUCUCUCUCUCUGCCUCCUCUUUUGUCUCUAUCUAUCUGCGUCAUCUGAGUCAUAUAAUGUUCUGACUAAGGAAUGGAUAAGCAGCUGUCGUUCACAGCGUCAUAUUCAUACCAGAGCCUGGUACAGAAGCUCAGAUUAGAAACAAUGUCAAAAAUGGACUGUAACUGAAAAGAAAAUGUGUUUUAUUGAUACUGUGUUGUUGUUGUUCUGUGAUCUGAUUCUGAAUUUAUGUUCUUAUAUUAUAAACAUACAUUUUUAAUGUUUGAUUCUUUGUACUAAUUAUAUGAUUUUUAUUAGAAGUAGUGUAUUCAUCAGACCCUGUCAAUCAAUCAAACGGUGUGACAUAUGUUUA